rnacentral:rRNA from 1 species
UACGUAGGGUGCGAGCGUUAAUCGGAAUUACUGGGCGUAAAGCGUGCGCAGGCGGUUGGCAAAGUCAGCUGUGAAAUCCCGGGGCUCAACCUCGGAACUGCCUUUGAUACUGCAAAUCUCGAGUCCGGAAGAGGUGAGUGGAAUUCCUAGUGUAGAGGUGAAAUUCGUAGAUAUUAGGAAGAACACCCGUGGCUAAGGCGGCUCUCUAGUACGGUACUGACGCUGAGACGCGAAAGCGUGGGGAGCGAACAGG